GACGAACGCUGGCGGCGUGCUUAACACAUGCAAGUCGAACGAAGUGGCGAACGGGUGAGUAACGCGUAAUCAACCUGCCCUUCAGAGGGGGACAACAGUUGGAAACGACUGCUAAUACCGCAUACUGAAGGAGGGGAUUGCGUCGGAUUAGCUAGUCGGGGGGGUAACGGCACACCAAGGCGAGGAUCAGUAGCCGGGCUGGGGGGAUGAACGGCCAAAUUGGGACGGGGACACGGCCCCAACUCCUACGGGGGGCAGCCGUGGGGAAUCUUCCGCAAUGGACGGAAGUCUGACGGAGCAACGCCGCGGGAGUGGUGGCGGCCUUCGGGUUGUAAAGCUCUGUUAAUCGGGACGCGGUACCGGAAUAGAAAGCCACGGCUAACUACGUGCCAGCAGCCGCGGUAAUUC
rnacentral:rRNA from 1 species